AUACGAAGGGGGCAAGCGUUGUUCGGAAUUACUGGGCGUAAAGGGCGCGUAGGCGGUUAAAUAAGUUAGGUGUGAAAUCCCUGGGCUCAACCCAGGAACUGCACUUAAAACUGUUUGACUAGAAUACAAGAGAGGACAGUGGAAUUCCUAGUGUAGAGGUGAAAUUCGUAGAUAUUAGGAAGAACAUCAGAGGCGAAGGCGACUGUCUGGCUUGAUAUUGACGCUGAGGCGCGAAAGCGUGGGUAGCAAACAGGAUUAGAUACCCUAGUAGUCC
rnacentral:rRNA from 1 species